rnacentral:lncRNA from 1 species
GAGGAAAGAGAUAUUAGAGAGAAAUUCAAGAAUAAGAGAAUUAAGACAUCCAAUUUCUCCCCAAUAUCUCUUCUCUUUCUCAUUCUAAACACCCAUCAAAUUUGAUGGGUGGUGCGAAAGUUAGGAGCACAAGGGUUGCUGUACUCCUAAUGGUACAGUACCGUUGCUUUCUCUCUCUCUCUCUCUAUAUAUAUAUAGAGUCCGGUUGGGAUACUGUCGAUAGCACGAAACAUUUUGUACUAUCAAGUUUUCUGCCAUUAAAUUUUCCUCUUUAUCAUUUUCAUCCGUUUGAUUAUACUAUUCGACUAACCACCCACUCAACUCUAUGGGACCCACAUCAUUUUAACCACACAUCUUUUAAUCUAAGGGCAAAAAACUCAAUAGCAUCAAGUCAUUGGUGGUAUUAAUAGUAUUCCAGCCUAGUUUUAUAUAUAUAUAGAGAGAGAGAGAGAAAGAGAGAAAGAGAGAGAGUAGGUCUUGUGUGCUAUUAGGAGCACGGAGGCCCACGGAGGCCUUCGUGCUCCUAAGCCGUUUUCGAUUAUGGAGCUUGUGAAUCAACGAUCGACUCUGUUAGACUUGAUCUAGCGUAUUUGAAGUAUUUAGAAAAUAAAUUUUGCGAUUUUUCGAUAUUAUUUACCUAGCGAUCAGGAGGGCUCAAAAUUAACAAUUUUUAAUGGUUGAUAUAUAUCGUUUGCAAGUUUAACGGUAUAGAAGUAUUCAAAUGAGAUGAAAUUUUGAUAGAAAAUUCUUUGUACUAUUUACUGUAAGAUCAAUAUCUCUGAUUGAAAAUUUUAGUGCUAUAUCACCACUUUUUGUGAGAUAUUUAUUUUCAGCCGUUGAUUUUGAACACUUUCGAUUGUUAGAUAAAUGAUAUCGAAAAAUCGCAAAAUUUAUUUUCUAAAUACUUCAAAUACACUAGAUCAAGUCUAACGGAGCCGAUCGUCGAUUCGCAAGCUCCAUCGUCGAAAAUGGCUUAGGAGCAUGGAGGCCUCCAUGCUCCUAAUAGCACACAAGACCUACUAUAUAUAUAUAUUAGUUAAAAAAUAUAUUUUUUAUGAUAUUAAUUUUAUAGUUAUAAAAAUUUUAUUAAUUUUGUAUCACAAAAAUUUGAAAUGACAAAAUACUUUUAUAUAAUAUAAAAUUUUAUAUUAUUUAUUAUAAUAUUGUAAUAUUUUAAACAAUAAUUUAUCUUAUAUUUCUGUAAAUUAUAUAGGCUUUUUAUAUUUAGAAAGUAUAGGAAUAAAAAUAUAUAUCUUGCGGGUAACCUGCAUACCUGCAUGCCCAUCUACGGAAUGGUAUGGAUAAAAGUGUUGAUUAGCCAAAAUUUAUAUGAUCCACUCGUGGGUUACCGAACUUGUCUGUUUGUCAGGUCUAAUCACAAGGCUUCUACACUCUACACUCUAACCGCUAUAUUCUAUCAUUUAUAUCCAAUUAAUUAUAUUUAAAAAAUAGUACAAUCAAAAUAUUUUUUUAAAAAUUAAAAUAGAACAAGUGAAUUCUAAAAAAAUAAUUUGAUAGGUUGAAGAUACC